GAAUUAGAACCAUAGACGUCUUUGGAAGGGGAGCAGGAUGGAACUCAGGAGAGAAGCAUCUGGGUACAAGUUAAGGAAGUACACCAUGCUUCUGAUGGUUUGGAACCAGAAUAGAUCCCAAGAGGUCCAGGAUCACUGGUUUGUUGGAGGAGGAAUUGCAGUAUACUUAAAAGAGAAAGGAUUUUUACAUUAGAAAAAUCUGGCAUUACCUAUAUCUUUGCAAUUGGUUAAUUGACCUUCAGUAAGCCCUUAGCUUCCUGUUGAACAAGAGUGUCUGUUUCUCAAUGGGUAAUAGGAUAGCAUGUGUCAGAAAAGCAGGCCGGUAGAUCAAACGCCCAGG
rnacentral:lncRNA from 1 species